GCCCUCCUUCAGGGCAGGGUGCAAUUCCCGACCGGCGGUGAAAGCCCGCGAAGCCCCCAAGGGGCCCGACUCAGUGGAAUCCUGAGGCCGACGGUAACAGUCCGGAUGGGAGAAGGAGGUG
rnacentral:ncRNA from 2 species